rnacentral:rRNA from 1 species
AACGAACGCUGGCGGCAUGCCUAACACAUGCAAGUCGAACGAUGCUUUCGGGCAUAGUGGCGCACGGGUGCGUAACGCGUGGGAAUCUGCCCUUGGGUUCGGAAUAACAGUGAGAAAUUGCUGCUAAUACCGGAUGAUGUCUUCGGACCAAAGAUUUAUCGCCCAGGGAUGAGCCCGCGUAGGAUUAGCUAGUUGGUGGGGUAAUGGCCUACCAAGGCGACGAUCCUUAGCUGGUCUGAGAGGAUGAUCAGCCACACUGGGACUGAGACACGGCCCAGACUCCUACGGGAGGCAGCUGUGGGGAAUAUUGGACAAUGGGCGCAAGCCUGAUCCAGCAAUGCCGCGUGAGUGAUGAAGGCCUUAGGGUUGUAAAGCUCUUUUACCCGGGAUGAUAAUGACAGUACCGGGAGAAUAAGCUCCGGCUAACUCCGUG